AGAACGAACGCUGGCGGCAUGCCUAAUACAUGCAAGUCGAACGAAGGCUUCGGCCUUAGUGGCGCACGGGUGCGUAACGCGUGGGAAUCUGCCCCUUGGUUCGGAAUAACAGUUGGAAACGACUGCUGAUACCGGAUGAUGACGAAAGUCCAAAGAUUUAUCGCCAAGGGAUGAGCCCGCGUAGGAUUAGCUAGUUGGUGAGGUAAA
rnacentral:rRNA from 1 species